rnacentral:tRNA from 1 species
GGGGUUGUGGCUCAGAGGUAGAGCACUAGCCUAGCAUGCAUGAGGCACAGGGUUCAAUCCUCAGCACCA